rnacentral:misc_RNA from 1 species
UCGAACGAACGUAGAGUCUGGUUGUAGCUGGCCUGCAAAGGCAUGUGCACGCCUGCUCUUUCAUCCACACACCCCUGUGCAUUUGUGAGACGGAGGCAUGUUUUCUUCCCAUUCGUUUGGGGAGAGAUCGGUUUCCGUCUGCCGUUAUACAAACUCAAUUAAUUUAACUCGAAUGUAAUUGAUGCGACGCAUCUAAUAAAUAUAC